rnacentral:rRNA from 1 species
UACGGAGGGGACUAGCGUUGUUCGGAAUUACUGGGCGUAAAGCGCACGUAGGCGGAUUUGUAAGUCAGGGGUGAAAUCCCGGGGCUCAACCUCGGAACUGCCUUUGAUACUGCAAAUCUCGAGUCCGGAAGAGGUGAGUGGAAUUCCUAGUGUAGAGGUGAAAUUCGUAGAUAUUCGGAAGAACACCAGUGGCGAAGGCGGCUCACUGGCCCGGUACUGACGCUGAGGUGCGAAAGCGUGGGGAGCAAACAGG